rnacentral:rRNA from 1 species
UUAAGCGACUAAGCGUACACGGUGGAUGCCCUGGCAGUCAGAGGCGAUGAAGGGCGUGCUAAUCUGCGAUAAGCGCCGGUAAGGUGAUAUGAACCGUUAUAACCGGCGAUACCCGAAUGGGGAAACCCAGUGUGACUCGUCACACUAUCAUUAACUGAAUCCAUAGGUUAAUGAGGCGAACCGGGGGAACUGAAACAUCUAAGUACCCCGAGGAAAAGAAAUCAACCGAGAUUCCCCCAGUAGCGGCGAGCGAACGGGGAGGAGCCCAGAGCCUGAAUCAGCAUGUGUGUUAGUGGAAGCGUCUGGAAAGGCGCGCGAUACAGGGUGACAGCCCCGUACACAAAAGCGCAUGUGCUGUGAGCUCGAUGAGUAGGGCGGGACACGUGGUAUCCUGUCUGAAUAUGGGGGGACCAUCCUCCAAGGCUAAAUACUCCUGACUGACCGAUAGUGAACCAGUACCGUGAGGGAAAGGCGAAAAGAACCCCGGCGAGGGGAGUGAAAAAGAACCUGAAACCGUGUACGUACAAGCAGUGGGAGCCCCACCACCAAAGCGUUUCGCUUUGUGUGGUGCACAAAGAAGCGUAACGACAGCACUGAAUGACGGUUAACGGAGCGCAAGCGACGUUCAACAUACAAAGUCAAGCAGUGGAGCGCUUUGGGGUGGGGUGACUGCGUACCUUUUGUAUAAUGGGUCAGCGACUUAUAUUCUGUAGCAAGGUUAACCGAAUAGGGGAGCCGGAGGGAAACCGAGUCUUAAUUGGGCGUUAAGUUGCAGGGUAUAGACCCGAAACCCGGUGAUCUAGCCAUGGGCAGGUUGAAGGUUGGGUAACACUAACUGGAGGACCGAACCGACUAAUGUUGAAAAAUUAGCGGAUGACCUGUGGCUGGGGGUGAAAGGCCAAUCAAACCGGGAGAUAGCUGGUUCUCCCCGAAAGCUAUUUAGGUAGCGCCUCGUGAAUUCAUCUCCGGGGGUAGAGCACUGUUUCGGCUAGGGGGCCAUCCCGGCUUACCAACCCGAUGCAAACUGCGAAUACCGGAGAAUGUUAUCACGGGAGACACACGGCGGGUGCUAACGUCCGUCGUGAAGAGGGAAACAACCCAGACCGCCAGCUAAGGUCCCAAAGUCAUGGUUAAGUGGGAAACGAUGUGGGAAGGCCCAGACAGCCAGGAUGUUGGCUUAGAAGCAGCCAUCAUUUAAAGAAAGCGUAAUAGCUCACUGGUCGAGUCGGCCUGCGCGGAAGAUGUAACGGGGCUAAACCAUGCACCGAAGCUGCGGCAGCGACGCUUAUGCGUUGUUGGGUAGGGGAGCGUUCUGUAAGCCUGUGAAGGUGGCCUGUGAGGGUUGCUGGAGGUAUCAGAAGUGCGAAUGCUGACAUAAGUAACGAUAAAGCGGGUGAAAAGCCCGCUCGCCGGAAGACCAAGGGUUCCUGUCCAACGUUAAUCGGGGCAGGGUGAGUCGACCCCUAAGGCGAGGCCGAAAGGCGUAGUCGAUGGGAAACGGGUUAAUAUUCCCGUACUUGGUGUUACUGCGAAGGGGGGACGGAGAAGGCUAUGUUGGCCGGGCGACGGUUGUCCCGGUUUAAGCGUGUAGGUGUGUGUUCCAGGUAAAUCCGGUUCACUUUAACACUGAGGCGUGAUGACGAGGCACUACGGUGCUGAAGCAACAAAUGCCCUGCUUCCAGGAAAAGCCUCUAAGCAUCAGGUAACAUCAAAUCGUACCCCAAACCGACACAGGUGGUCAGGUAGAGAAUACCAAGGCGCUUGAGAGAACUCGGGUGAAGGAACUAGGCAAAAUGGUGCCGUAACUUCGGGAGAAGGCACGCUGACACGUAGGUGAAGUGAUUUACUCAUGGAGCUGAAGUCAGUCGAAGAUACCAGCUGGCUGCAACUGUUUAUUAAAAACACAGCACUGUGCAAACACGAAAGUGGACGUAUACGGUGUGACGCCUGCCCGGUGCCGGAAGGUUAAUUGAUGGGGUCAGCGCAAGCGAAGCUCCUGAUCGAAGCCCCGGUAAACGGCGGCCGUAACUAUAACGGUCCUAAGGUAGCGAAAUUCCUUGUCGGGUAAGUUCCGACCUGCACGAAUGGCGUAAUGAUGGCCAGGCUGUCUCCACCCGAGACUCAGUGAAAUUGAACUCGCUGUGAAGAUGCAGUGUACCCGCGGCAAGACGGAAAGACCCCGUGAACCUUUACUAUAGCUUGACACUGAACAUUGAGCCUUGAUGUGUAGGAUAGGUGGGAGGCUUUGAAGCGUGGACGCCAGUCUGCGUGGAGCCGACCUUGAAAUACCACCCUUUAAUGUUUGAUGUUCUAACGUGGACCCGUAAUCCGGGUUGCGGACAGUGUCUGGUGGGUAGUUUGACUGGGGCGGUCUCCUCCUAAAGAGUAACGGAGGAGCACGAAGGUUGGCUAAUCCUGGUCGGACAUCAGGAGGUUAGUGCAAUGGCAUAAGCCAGCUUGACUGCGAGCGUGACGGCGCGAGCAGGUGCGAAAGCAGGUCAUAGUGAUCCGGUGGUUCUGAAUGGAAGGGCCAUCGCUCAACGGAUAAAAGGUACUCCGGGGAUAACAGGCUGAUACCGCCCAAGAGUUCAUAUCGACGGCGGUGUUUGGCACCUCGAUGUCGGCUCAUCACAUCCUGGGGCUGAAGUAGGUCCCAAGGGUAUGGCUGUUCGCCAUUUAAAGUGGUACGCGAGCUGGGUUUAGAACGUCGUGAGACAGUUCGGUCCCUAUCUGCCGUGGGCGCUGGAGAACUGAGGGGGGCUGCUCCUAGUACGAGAGGACCGGAGUGGACGCAUCACUGGUGUUCGGGUUGUCAUGCCAAUGGCACUGCCCGGUAGCUAAAUGCGGAAGAGAUAAGUGCUGAAAGCAUCUAAGCACGAAACUUGCCCCGAGAUGAGUUCUCCCUGAGACUUAGAGUCUCCUGAAGGAACGUUGAAGACGACGACGUUGAUAGGCCGGGUGUGUAAGCGCAGCGAUGCGUUGAGCUAACCGGUACUAAUGAACCGUGAGGCUUAACCUU